UACAGAGGUCCCAAGCGUUGUUCGGAUUCACUGGGCGUAAAGGGUGCGUAGGUGGUUGGGUAAGUCUGAUGUGAAAGCCCCGGGCCCAACCCGGGAACGGCAUCGGAAACUGCCUGGCUAGAGGGUUGGAGGGGGGACUGGAAUUCCCGGUGUAGCAGUGAAAUGCGUAGAUAUCGGGAGGAACGCCAGUGGCGAAGGCGAGUACCUGGACAACCCCUGACACUGAGGCACGAAAGCUCGGGGAGCAAACAGG
rnacentral:rRNA from 1 species